rnacentral:rRNA from 1 species
UGCAGUCGAGCGACAGAUAAGGAGCUUGCUCCUUUGACGUUAGCGGCGGACGGGUGAGUAACACGUGGGUAACCUACCUAUAAGACUGGGAUAACUUCGGGAAACCGGAGCUAAUACCGGAUAACAUUUGGAACCGCAUGGUUCUAAAGUGAAAGAUGGUUUUGCUAUCACUUAUAGAUGGACCCGCGCCGUAUUAGCUAGUUGGUAAGGUAACGGCUUACCAAGGCGACGAUACGUAGCCGACCUGAGAGGGUGAUCGGCCACACUGGAACUGAGACACGGUCCAGACUCCUACGGGAGGCAGCAGUAGGGAAUCUUCCGCAAUGGGCGAAAGCCUGACGGAGCAACGCCGCGUGAGUGAUGAAGGGUUUCGGCUCGUAAAACUCUGUUAUUAGGGAAGAACAAAUGUGUAAGUAACUGUGCACGUCUUGACGGUACCUAAUCAGAAAGCCACGGCUAACUACGUGCCAGCAGCCGCGGUAAUACGUAGGUGGCAAGCGUUAUCCGGAAUUAUUGGGCGUAAAGCGCGCGUAGGCGGUUUCUUAAGUCUGAUGUGAAAGCCCACGGCUCAACCGUGGAGGGUCAUUGGAAACUGGGAAACUUGAGUGCA